ACGAAAUCCAAACCAAGUUGUGCCUCCUUCGCAGUUUCCGUAAUCAGGAAGUAACGCUUUGUUUACAUCGUGGGCAAGUUAGGGGAAAAUAUCUCAAACCAGAGCUGUACAACAUGGCCGACGACGUACUCUGCGUUCCUACACCUAGAGAUGGUGUCCCAUAUUUACAAAGACCAAGCCUCAAGAGGGGAAAUGGACAAGGAUAGGGCCUCUUGUGUGUUCACUCUGGAAGGCAUGGGCUUCAGAGUAGGACACGGGCUUAGAGAAAGGCCAUAGCCACCAUGGUUCACUGCGACAGGCCCUCCCCUCACCAGAGUACUCACUGGGUCAUGAGGGCUAUGGGGGCACAUGCUGCCCUCGGGAUCAAACCUUUAGGCGGACAGAUUAAAAAGGAGAGAUUGGGUGGUUCUGCCCUCUCACCUUCCAAACCAGCUCAUCAUGGUAGAAAUGCAGAGCAGCACAACAGACACCUUCCCUGUCUCUUCUCAUCUCAGAACUGACACAGUCCUCAGUAGAAAGCCACAUCUCCUAAACCCAUAGAAGAGUUACUCUUGCUUAUCCUUCAAUGUUUCCCUAAUGAAAUGUUGUGUCAGUGGUAAUCCGGGCAUUCGUGGCCAGUCGACCCCCAUCGUGUCCUUCACAGCUGUCUCACCCUAUGUCAUCGCUGCUGGGAUCCAAUGGGCUACCCCCCAAAAAUAAUGACCCCUUUGUCCAACCCCUUUACCUCCUCCUCUACCCCAACCCUCCCACCUCCACCCAUUUGGCCUCUCCCCGGUCACAGAGCAUUUGUUUGCCUGUCUUUGGCUCUAAUGGAUGCCUUUUUGCCUUCCAUCUCUCUCCAUGACUGGCCAUGUACCUUUGCCCCUUUGUGCGGGAGCACCACAGCACUUUCUGUGUCUAAUUGAAUCAACAGGAUUGCUGUUUCAAGGAACGGAAUGGCAGGGUGGGGAAAGUCCAAGGGUGGGGAAGAGGCCACCUGUGCGGUACCUGCUGAGCAUGCCUGAUGGGUGUCAGGGCCUCUGCGUUGGGCUAAAUUAAGCCUGUGUGUAUUUUGCUAACUCUAAUGGGACCCAGAUGGAUAGAGGAGGCUGACUGUUUUUCUAGUGUAGGGUGAGCAAGGAGAAAGAUCCACUGGUGAACUCAUUACCAUGACCUGAGUGAGUUCCCCCCCCUUCUGGCCACACUGAUUAAUCCUGGGUUAUGAAGGUAAACAUAGAAAAUAUGUGACCGAAUUACGAUCUGUAUUUGUCAUUAGGAGUAAUUGAGGGAUAGAAUACAAUCGAACAAUCUGUUUUUGAGUGUUAAUGGAAAGUUUGAACAACUAUUGACUUUCCUUUGUGAAAGCAAUAUUACAACCCUUCAGUAGCAACACUUCACAUUAUGCUUUGGGAAAUUAAGCAUAUCAUGACAUACUCACCAACAUGAAACAACAUGAAAUUUGUCCAACAACAAUACGUGCGGCUCCUAUAAAAAUAUUUUUCACCUAGAGUCGGCCUUGCUUGGCUUUAACAGUGAGGGGAUACGGAACCAAACAACAAUUUCAACAACAGUAGGCCAACAAAGCAACCUAAACAAACAUCGGCUCAAACAGACACGGCUGAGAGACCAUAAAACCAUGAUUUUCAUGAAGGCCUGGCAGAAACCUGGAAGUUGGGAAAUGGUUAGCCAGCUAGCGGCCUGUUGAUGCCUAAUCAUCUCAACAUGUUCUGACCCAGAGCCCAUCUGCCUUACCUCUGCCUGGGGGGUGGCUGGAGGUUUGGGUGGAGCGCACACCUCCCCCUCCACCACCUCCCUCCUCCCCAUCCGCCUCUCUCUCCAUACCCUCAGGAUUCACAAAUCAGCCCAGUAACCAGAUUAUUUGUCAAGUGGCCUUAAGGAGGAACAAACAACAGAGCCUAAAGAGAGGGUGAGGUGUGGGACUGUUUUAGAUUUUGGAGUUGUUCAAAUGGUGACCUACGUAGUGCUGGGGGUAGGGCAACACAGGAUUGUGGGGGAGGGGAUCUGUCUCUUUUUCUAAGCAUCCCCUCAGCCAUACAUUUUGUAUAUAGGCUUUUUUUAGAAAUUGUUAUUACGGGAAAGCAAUGCUGACGGAAUACAAAACUGUGGUGCUCUGCGGAAAAGUGCUGAAAUACUAACAAGGAAAUUCCCUCGGUCUGAGAUACAGAUAAAGAAAUAUAACUCACUCUGUCUCUCACUAAUUACUAUAACAAAUGGUCAAACGUCUUUAUGAAAGAACAGUUUGUGUUCUCUCAUGGCAGUGUGACAUCUGAUUCCUGCCCCAGCCCCCAUGUGAUUGUACCGAUAACAGGGAACUCUGAAAUGUCAUAUCACUCUAACCUGGUUUUCUCCCCCAUCCAUUUCCACUCUGAACCAGCCAAGCCAUUUUGCUCCCCCGUGGAAGGACAUUAUAUUCCAAAACAAUACCAAGCACUAAGAGGUAGUUUUAGAAAAGCUUUACAAUUGGGAGAGAUGGGUGAUGGGAAACGCACAAAAAUGGUGUCCCUGCCGUUUAGGAUUAACUUGCAUAUCUAUAUCUUAUACAUUCCAUCGGUACAUUCGGCAUUCUUUCCGGUUGACUGGCAGUAAUAGUAUUCCAUUUCAAGACUCAUACUAAUACCUUAUCACAACGGAAAUUGAUGAACAUUUUAUGGUCAACAAAUCUUUGUAAACCAUCUAAUCCGUAUUGAUUAUAUUCCUACAAAAAAAGAGAGAAAAAAAUCCAAGAUGCCAAACUAGCUACUUUUACACAAAAAAAAAAAACGGCAUUUAAUUUGAUACAACCCCAUUUCCUUCAGAGGUGAAUACAGGUAACUGCCAAAACAAAGGACAAACAAACAUAAAGUGUCUUAAUAGGGCUUUAGGCCACCGUGGGUCGCCAGAACAGCUUCAAUGCACCUUGGCAUAGAUUCUACAAGUGUCUGGAACUCUACUGGGGGGAUGUGACACCAUUCUCCAGCAGGAAAUUACAUCACUUGUUAUUUUGUUGAUGGUGGUGGAAAACGGUGUCUCAGGCACCGCUCCAGAAUCUCCCAUAGGUGUCCAAUUGGGUUGAGAUCUGGUGACUAAACUGACACACACACACACCCUUUAACCCCACUAUGCUUCUUUGAGACCCCUCUUUCAAAGUCUCUGACAUUUUUUCUUCUAUCCAUGGAAGCCAAAAUAAUGGGCAACUGGGCAUUUUUAUGCAUGACCUUAAGCAUGAUGGGAUGUUAAUUGCACCUCUCUGAU